rnacentral:sRNA from 1 species
GUGCGGCAUUCGCAGGCGAGGAGGCGAGGAACCGCCGUGGCGUCUUGGCGUUGUCCACUCUGGUUCACAGAAUGUACCUGUGACAUCUCUUUGACUCUCCAUUGUUGCCCUUGAAGAACAGAGAUGAGUUUUUUUCCUUUUUCAUAAGGAAGCCACUUUUAUAGCGAAAGAGAGCUGGAGAACUGGGAUAUCAUGAGGAGUUGUAGACAGUUAAACCUGAAUUCUAGCUUUUGGAACAAAAUAGUAAUGUAAUUGUAGCAGUUCUCACUUUUUUAUUUUUUAUUUUUUUGAGACGGAGUUUCACUCUUGUUGCUUAGGUUGGAGUGCGAUGGCGCAGUCUCGGCUCACUGCAACCUCCGCUUCCCGGGUUCAAGGGAGUCCCCUGCCUCUGCCCCCCAAAUAGCUGGGAUUACAGGCGUGCGCCACCAUGCUCGGCUAAUUUUUUGUAUUUUUAAUAGAGAUGGGGUUUCACUAUGUUGGUCAGGCUGGUCUCGAACUCCUGACCUCAGGUGAUCCACCUGCCUUGGCCUCCCAAAGUGUUGGGUAGGCGUGAGCCACCGCGCCUGGCCAAUUCUCACUUUUGGACCAUCUACUAC